rnacentral:rRNA from 1 species
UUUAUGGAGAGUUUGAUCCUGGCUCAGGAUGAACGCUGGCGGCGUGCCUAAUACAUGCAAGUCGAGCGAACGGACGAGAAGCUUGCUUCUCUGAUGUUAGCGGCGGACGGGUGAGUAACACGUGGAUAACCUACCUAUAAGACUGGGAUAACUUCGGGAAACCGGAGCUAAUACCGGAUAAUAUUUUGAACCGCAUGGUUCAAAAGUGAAAGACGGUCUUGCUGUCACUUAUAGAUGGAUCCGCGCUGCAUUAGCUAGUUGGUAAGGUAACGGCUUACCAAGGCAACGAUGCAUAGCCGACCUGAGAGGGUGAUCGGCCACACUGGAACUGAGACACGGUCCAGACUCCUACGGGAGGCAGCAGUAGGGAAUCUUCCGCAAUGGGCGAAAGCCUGACGGAGCAACGCCGCGUGAGUGAUGAAGGUCUUCGGAUCGUAAAACUCUGUUAUUAGGGAAGAACAUAUGUGUAAGUAACUGUGCACAUCU